UUCUUCACAGGUGAAGGUGAGGGAACGGUUGAACUUCCUGAAGUCGGGGAAGGCAUCGUCCAGUCUUCGGUCCCGUCCGUUGUGCUUGCUGAGGCAGAGGGGCCCGGCUGCGUGGGGACAGACGGAGCACAGGGAGGUGGUAUAGUAACCACCUACACGGGUAUGAGAGCUCUACCUGCUGGCGAGUAUCUUCCUCACAGUCUGCACCUGACCCCGUUGUAUGGCCCUGUAGAGCAUCGUGGUGGGCACCUCGUCUUCUGGAACACCAAUCACAGCCAGGUGAGCUAGAGUGUUGUGGGACUGUGGUUUGCGAUGAGUGCCAUUGCAACAGCUUGGUCGGAGACAUGCUUUUCGAAGUACACUUCAGGAACACAGCUAGGUACAGUUUAUUCACACGAUCAGAUGAAGUCGUGAUACAGUGCAAUCAUGCCUUUGUAAGUUAGCUCAGGGACUCGCAGCUUCUAGCAAGACACUUGGUGCAUAUUCGUGUAGAUGACAUAGAACAUAUUCAUGAAGCUAAUGAGUUUUAAAAGUGGUUUCGGGAUCCCGUCCACACACAAACGCACACACACACAUAUACACACACGAAUGAAUUAUGCGGGUCCCCUCAUCUUUUCGAGAUUUCAGAGACUUCUGCGCAGGUUCACCGUUGUUACGCAUUUCCGUUCCUUUCACGAAAUUGCUUAUACCAAAUACUGUAUAUCAAGAGAUAAGAUGUUCACACAUCAAAAUAAAACUAUACAAAUACAAACAAGUAAUACAAAAAUUUAAAACAUCGGCACGUCCCCCUUCUGCCUUUUUAGACCAAGUGCCUUGGGCUUGCUGUGCCCUGGAACUGCCCCUGGUGUGUUUUGAUAACCAUUUGACCGAAGCUGCCCAAGAUCCUGAACAACUUCUAAACUUCAAAUGGUUUAACAUGGAGAAAGGACCCCUGAAAAUAAAGCGUGAGGCCGACCACAAAGAGCAGGGCCAGUACCUUCUGUGGCGACGGCGAGUACAGGACUCCACGGAGACUCCUCCAGUUGCCCCGCGCACUUCAGGCGGAAGCUGUAGCACUUGCCUGGCCCGAGGCCCCCCACUUGGUGUGUGCUCCUGCCGCCA